rnacentral:lncRNA from 1 species
AAAUUGAAAAUCGUUGAAAUUGAACACUUGAAAACUUCAAUUCAACAACUUCACAAUUUUUCACGAAUUUGCAACAAUAAAUUAAGCACCUGCACUAGAAAGAUUGAAAGAGAGCUUGAGAGAUAUUGAGAGAUAUUGAUGAAUUGGUGCAUAAAAAUGAAAGAAUGAGGGAGUAUUUAUAAUUGAGAAAUGGGAAAUAGUGUAAUUAUAUAAAGUUUGGGGGUUAAAUUAAAGUUUGGGGGCCAAAUGACUAUUUUUUAAACUUCUAAACGGCUACUUUGUGCAAAGAGCCAUUUGGAAAUAAUUUUUAAAUUGUUUUUUUUUUGAAAAAUGCCCGUUAGGAACCGGUCCAGAACCGCGAGCCGGUUCCGGUUCUGGCGGGUCCGGUUCUGGCGGUUCCAACGAGUAGAACCGCCCCACCACGGUCCCCUGGAACCGCCGAAAUUGAAUCCGCCGGAACCGACAGAACCGACAGGGCCACGGUUCCGAUCUGAUUCCGGUUCGGAACCGUUACGCCCAACAGCCUUAUCUUUAAGCCGCCAGAACAGGCAGAACCGGCAGGGACGCGGUUCCGGUUCGGAACCGCGAAAAUUACAGCCUUAUUUCCUGUAGUCCUUGAGUACAUAACCGCAUCAAAAUGUCCUGACAUCAUUGCAGGAUUAGCACCUAAGAUUCCUGUGGCAUUGGUUAUUGAUUUUUUUUCAUUCAUCACUAGUUAUCAUAGCAUAUGCUUGAUUAACAGUGGGGAAUGGACUUCUCAUUAGGAUAUGGCUUCUAGUCUGGGCAUAUGAGUCAUUGAGCCCCAUGAAAAACUAAUACAACUUAAGUUUUUGAAGAUAAACUAUAAAUUCCUUAGACUUAGGGCAAUCACAACCUGGUGCAGGGACCAAGGCUUCAAAUUUUUCCCACAUGUCUUUCAAUUUCGAGAAAUAUACUAACACAGAUGCAGUACCUUGAGAGAGUGUUGCAAUUUCUGUAUGCAGAUUAAACGAUCUUGAAUCAUAUACCGUAUUAAAUCUUUCAGACAAUCUUCCCAGAUUACUUGAGCACAAAAAGCAUACAUAAUUCCCCAUAAAAGAUUUUUUGAAACAGAGUUCAUAAUCCAUGAAAGCACAAUUGCAUUUACUCUCUCCCCAUGAUUCCACAGAAUUUCUGAAAUUUUUUCUUUCUUACAUGAGCCAUCGAUGAGUCCUAAUUUAUUUCUUCCUAAUAAUGCAACACACAUAGAUCGAUUCCAGAUUGAGUAAUUCUCAAUACCUGUGAGUUGAAAUGAAAUUAUCUGAAUUCCGCUCACAUCAGCUGGCGAUAAAAACAAGGGAUGAUUGUAAUCUACUCCAGGUGGUUGAUUUCUAGUUCCAACUGUUGGAUUUACACUUCCAGAAUUCAUCUGGUCUCUUGCAUGUUGUUGAGACCCAGUUCCAUGACCUGGAUUCGAUUCAUUCUCCAUUGACAAGAUUCCUCAAAAAAGAUCGAUAACAACAGAAUGUAGAAGGAUCGAUAACAUGAGCUUUAGAGAUUCAAGCUCAGCUGCUAUGAUACCAUGAAGUUAACGGUGAUUUAUAGAUUGUAAAAUCUAAGUUCAGAGAAGAAGAAGAAGAGAUUAUUGACUAGAGAGAUGUUAGAGAGAGAAUGAGUGGAGAAGAAAAUGAAUAUCUUUUUC